rnacentral:lncRNA from 1 species
UGUUCGUCUAUGUGUUUCCUUUCGAAAUAAAAUUGAAUUCAUGUUGUAGACGAGAUAGAUAGAGAACAUUGGAUUGGCUCGUUUGCUAACGUAUAAACUCUUCUCUACAGACAGAUACAUUUAUAUCGAGCAGACAGAUAUCGUGUAGUAACGAUCGCAGAGAGGUAUAAUGAUAUAAUGACAGUGACAGACUGGAUGGAAUUGAUGGAAUCACUGCAUGCUGAGUUAGGCUUGGUAAUUCACUGUGUGUUGUGUGCUUCUAGCAUUAAAAGACUCUAAUUAUAUUAUCACGUAAAGUAGUAGACUUCUAACAAGUCUAAGAAA